CAGCUAUGAUGAAUUUUAUUCCAAUCAUUCGCAGUUUCCACCAUAAAGACUUCUUAGUCUUAAUGAUGGCUGGAAGAUCCUUCCUUGGAUGUCUGAGCUG
rnacentral:snoRNA from 1 species